UUCCUGGUGGCUCAGACGGUAAAGCAUCUGCCUGCAAGGCGGGAGACCCAGGUUCAAUCUCUGGGUUGGGAAG
rfam:Ovis aries breed Texel chromosome 2, whole genome shotgun sequence.